rnacentral:rRNA from 1 species
UACGUAGGGGGCAAGCGUUGUCCGGAUUUAUUGGGCGUAAAGAGCGUGUAGGCGGCCAGGUAGGUCAGCUGUGAAAACUCGAGGCUUAACCUCGAGAUGUCAUCGGAAACCAUUUGGCUAGAGUCCGGAAGAGGAGAGUGGAAUUCCUGGUGUAGCGGUGAAAUGCGCAGAUAUCAGGAAGAACACCAAUGGCGAAAGCAGCUCUCUGGGACGGUACUGACGCUGAGACGCGAAAGCGUGGGGAGCGAACAGG